GCCGAAACGCGUCCGGAAAAUAAGCAUUUAGUGAAAGCGUGAGUUUUUUAAAAAAGUUUUAUAAAAAUUUUAAUGAUUACUUAAAUUUGGAAUUUCAGGAAAAGAAUUUGGAACUCAGUGUGUUUAUAAUAGCCACAACUCGAGAUUAUUGUCCCCUAGAAUGCAGGAUUCAGAAUUAAUUCAUGCCAUAGAGGGUUAACGUUUAAGAAAUUCAAAGGUUCCUGUGGAAACCCAUGCACGGUAAUUUUUAAACAAUGAGUUUACUGCUGAUAAAUCCUAGAACACCCUGUAUUUAAAACCAACGCAACUAUUUUAAUCCUGCCAGGUUUUACUUUUUCCAGCUUGCUUUGUCUUUUUUUUUUUUUGCGUGUAAACAUAAAAGACCCUUACAUUAAACGCAGUGACCAUGUUGUAAUGAUACAAAAUUUUCCUCCAUGAAUAGUGAAUACAUCUCUACUUCCGAAAAUCUAUUUCAUUAAUUUGACGACAUUCGGUUUGCUCCGUUGGAAUCAGUCGAGGAUUGUAAUUUGUGGACUGGCGGUUUCAGGGGCAUCUUUCCUCAUUGAUGAACAGUGUUGAAUCUCACUUAAAAUAAAUAAUGAUGAAUGUUCAUAACUUUACUGAAUUAUUUGAAAAGACAAAAUGUGAGCAGUACAUGAGUAAAAUAAGAACUCAAUAACCCCUGAAAAAGUUCUUUUAUUUCAUAAAUUGUUACUUUCUUCAGGUAUCAGCUGAUACACACUUACACAUGAGGUGCCACAUAGGAUUUCACAUUCUGCCUCCCGCCUGAUCGACUUGAUCAGGACAGGCAACGGACAGAGGUCGGUGACACCUCGAACCAUCACUGAGGUUGGGGUCUUUACUUUAACCACUCUGCUAACGUGUCCAUCGGCAUCAGGUAAGCUGCUGCUCUUGUACUGCUUGUCUCUUUGAAGGAAGUAUUCUUUGGCACUUUGGCAUAAUGCUCCCAAUAGGCAAAGGUAGUAGGCACUCUCUUUCUGGAGUUUACAGACUGGUGAAAUUGAGGUUUGG
rnacentral:lncRNA from 1 species